AAACCAGGGGGGUGAAACUCGUAGUACUAAAUUGGAAACAAAUAUUCUAUGCGCCUACCUAACAGAGAAUGAAAGAGAUAGAAGAUGUAUGGUUAUCUCUGUCGCUCAUGACAAGAAGGAUAAUGUUCCAAAAUCCAAAUUGACAUUCGACAGUUGCAGUUAUAACCAAACAUUUUCGGAUAGUAGUAUUGAAAAAUAUUCAACAUUCGUUGAAAAAAAAAAUUUUAUCCGUUAAGACUGAUAUUAGAUAUUAUGUUAAUUUAUUUUUUGUUUGAAAAACCAACAUUUUUAUUAUUUAUCUUUGUCUGCACAACUUUUGGUCUAGUCUAAGGAUUGAAAUGAGUGCCUCAAAUCUUCGAUGGACGACUCCAUUGGUUAUGUACAUCCUAAAAUGGCUGUUUGAUUACUAUAUCAUCAAUUUUUAACAGAAUUAUAAAUGAUUGAAUGAAUUUGACCGGUAAAGGUCAAUAAUUAAUCAUGGAAAACCCAUUUAUUAGUUGCCGACGUGAAGCCAACAUACUUUAAAAUCCCAUAUAUCGCA